rnacentral:rRNA from 1 species
AUUGAACGCUGGCGGCAGGCUUAACACAUGCAAGUCGAGCGAGCGGCGGACGGGUGAGUAAUGUCUUGGAAACUUCCUGAUGGAGGGGGAUAACUACUGGAAACGGUAGCUAAUACCGCAUACCAUCAGAUGUUCCCAGAUGGGAUUAGCUAGUAGGUGGGGUAAUGGCUCACCUAGGCGACGAUCCCUAGCUGGUCUGAGAGGAUGACCAGCCACACGGGAACUGAGACAGGGUCCAGAGUACUACGAGAGGGAGCAGUGGGGAAUAUUGCACAAUGGGCGCGAGCCUGACGCAGCCAUGCCGCGUGUGUGGAGAAGGCCUUCGGGUUGUAAAGCACUUUCAGCGAGGAGGCGUUACUCGCAGAAGAAGCACCGGCUAACUCCGUGCCAGCAGCCGCGGUAAUAC